rnacentral:rRNA from 1 species
GACGAACGCUGGCGGCGUGCUUAACACAUGCAAGUCGAACGGAAAGGCCUGCUUUCCCUUGUGGAUUGCGGGUACUCGAGUGGCGAACGGGUGAGUAACACGUGAGUGAUCUGCCCCCAACUUGGGUAUAAGCCUGGGAAACUGGGUCUAAUUCCCGAUAGGACUGCAGGGUGGUGCCUGUGGUGGAAAACGAUUUUCUAGUGGUUGGGGAUGAGCUCGCGGCCUACCAGCUUGUUGGUGGGGUAAUGGCCUACCAAGGCGGCGACGGGUAGCCGGCCUGAGAGGGUGGACGGGCACAUUGGGACUGAGAUACGGCCCAGACUCCUACGGGAGGCAGCAGUGGGGAAUAUUGCACAAUGGGCGGAAGCCUGAUGCAGCGACGCCGCGUGGGGGAUGACGGCCUUCGGGUUGUAAACUCCUUUCGACCGCGAGGAAGCCACCUGGUUGGAAGGGUGGUGACGGUAGUGGUAGAAGAAGCACCGGCUAACUACGUG